GACGAACGCUGGCGGCGGGCUUAACACAUGCAAGUCGAACGGAAAGGCCCUGCUUUUGUGUGGAGCUCGAGUGGCGAACGUGUGAGUAACAUGUGAGUAACCUGCCUUGUACGUUGUGAUAACUUGAGAAAACUGGUGCUAAUACCUGCGAGGAGCUCCUGCAGCUGGGUGGGGUUUGGAAAGUUUCGGCGGUUGGGGAUGUACUCGGGGGUUAUCAGCUUGUGGGGGGGGUACUUGCUUACGAAGGGUUUGGAGGGUAGCCGGCCUGAGAGGGUGGCCAGGGACAUUGGGACUGAGGUACGGCCCAGAGUCGUACGGGGGACAGCAGUGGGGAAUAUUGCACAGUGGGCCGAAGCCUGAUGAAGAAGCGCUGCGUGCGGGAUGAAGGCCUUCGGGUUGUAAACCGCAUUCGCCUGUGACGAAGCGUGAGUGACGGUAAUGGGUAAAGAAGCACCGGCUAACUUCGUG
rnacentral:rRNA from 1 species